rnacentral:rRNA from 1 species
CUGGCUCAGAGUGAACGCUGGCGGUAGGCCUAACACAUGCAAGUCGAACGGCAGCACAGAGGAGCUUGCUCCUUGGGUGGCGAGUGGCGGACGGGUGAGGAAUACAUCGGAAUC